UAUAUUCUUGUGGUGAUAGUGGCCUUAGGU
rnacentral:piRNA from 1 species